AGUGAACGCUGGCGGUAGGCCUAACACAUGCAAGUCGAACGGCAGCACAGUAAGAGCUUGCUCUUACGGGUGGCGAGUGGCGGACGGGGGAGGAAUACAUCGGAAUCUACUUUUUCGUGGGGGAUAACGUAGGGAAACUUACGCGAAUACCGCAUACGACCUACGGGUGAAAGCAGGGGAUCUUCGGACCUUGCGCGAUUGAAUGAGCCGAUGUCGGAUUAGCUAGUUGGCGGGGUAAAGGCCCACCAAGGCGACGAUCCGUAGCUGGUCUGAGAGGAUGAUCAGCCACACUGGAACUGAGACACGGUCCCGACUCCUACGGGGGGAAGCAGUGGGGAAUAUUGGACGAUGGGCGAAAGCCUGAUCCAGCCAUACCGCGUGGGUGAAGAAGGCCUUCGGGUUGUAAAGCCCUUUUGUUGGGAAAGAAAAGCAGCAGGUUAAUACCCCGCUGUUCUGACGGUACCCAAAGAAUAAGCACCGGCUAACUUCGUG
rnacentral:rRNA from 1 species